GAUGAAGAACGUAGCGAAAUGCGAUAAGUAAUGUGAAUUGCAGAAUUCAGUGAAUCAUCGAAUCUUUAAACGCACAUUGCGCCCGGUAGUAUUCUGCCGGGCAUGCCUGUUCGAGCGUCAUUUCAACCAUCAAGCCCCAGCGCUUGUGUUGGGGGCCUGCGGCUGCCGCAGCCCCCUAAAAGCAGUGGCGGGCUCGCUAUCACACCGAGUGCAGUAGUUCAUCUUCUCUCCGGUCUUGUGAGGCGGGUUCCGGCCGUGAAACACCCCACUACAUUCAAGGUUGACCUCGGAUCAGGUAGGAAUACCCGCUGAACUUAAGCAUAUCAAUAAGCGGAGGA
rnacentral:misc_RNA from 1 species